GAAAUACAUAGGAGGGGUGGAGCCAAGAUGGCCGAAUAGGAACAGCUCCAGUCUACAGCUUCCAACAUGUGCGACGCAGAAGACGAAUGAUUUCUGCAUUUCCAACUGAGAACUCACUGGAGCCAAAAUUCUCUGUGAGGCAAGAGCUAUGUUAUGUUGGACAGGCUGCACUGGAGGAUGAAGCAAAAUGAAAAGUAGAUUCUAUGUAGAAAUAAUCACCUGGAAACUACAGUGACAGCAAGAAGAAGGAGCUGAAAUAAAUUCAGGUUGUCACAAGCUGCUAAAAAAAUGCAUUUACUUACAUUGCUUCUUAUCUGGUACCCAUAUCUGCUGUCUCCUACAGUCGUCUAGCCAAAUAUUUAAAGAUAUAGAAUCUACAAAGACAAACUAAUUAUUAAUGUGUCUGUGAACUCUGCAAACAAACAUUAUUGAAUGCAUUACUGUUAGGACUCCUAUUUGGACAAGUAGCUAGGUGAGCCCUGUCUAAGCAUAAAGACCUAUGCAGGGCUUAUCAAACUUCAAGACUCUGCUGACUAGAGAUGCAAAAUAAAAUCAUGAGGGAAUUAGCAGGCACCAGUGAGACCUGCAGGCUUUGAGAAAUCUCUUGAGGUAAGUGAGAAAGACAGCUUCCUAUGUGAGCAGAGGUUCAUUUAUUUUGAUUCAAGUUAAGGGUUAAGGGCAACUUGACAUUUUGUAUUACACCUAUCCCUUCCCCACCCCUCUUUUUUUUUUUUUCUUAGGAGUUGUAAGGAUCUUACAAGAUCAUCUGAUCUUAGAAAGAAAUAAAGACCCUGGCCAGGCACAGUGGCUCGCACCUGUAAUCCCAGCACUUUGGGAGGCAGAGGCAGGCAGAUCACUUGAGGUCAGGAGUUCGAGACCAGCCUGGCCAACAUGGCAAAACCUUAUGUCUACUAAAAAUACAAAAAUAACCCAGCAUGAUGCCUUGUGCCUGCAAUUCCAGCUACUUGGGAGGUUGAGGCAGGAGAAUCGCUUGAACCCGGGAGGCGGAGGUUGCAGUGAGCUGAGAUAGCGCCACUGCACUCCAGCCUGGGCAAUAGAGUGAGAAUCCACCAAAAAAAAAAAAAAA
rnacentral:lncRNA from 10 species